GCCAUUGUGGCAUAGUGGUUUGCAUGUUGGACUAUGACUCUGGAGACUAGGGUUCAAAUCCGCACUCAGUCA
rnacentral:tRNA from 1 species